rnacentral:rRNA from 1 species
AUGGCGCCGGGGUUCACCAAGUUUGAUUUGGAGAAAUUCGAUGGCACGGGUAACUUUGGUCUAUGGCAGACAAGAGUCAAGGAUAUUCUGACGCGGCGGGGAAUCCUGAAGGGUUUGCAGGAGACAAAGCCUGCCAAGGUUGACAACGAUGCGUGUGAGGAUAUGCAAGUGCAGGCGGCCGCUACCAUACGGCUUUGUCUUGCGGAUCAGGUCAUGUAUCAUGUCAUGGACGAAUAUACUCCUAAGGGAAUUUGGGAUAAGUUGGCAAAUCAUUAUAUGUCCAAGUCAGCGACCAAUAAGCUGUAUUUGAAGCAAAAGUUCUAUGGGCUGAAGAUACAGGAGGGGUCGGAUCUUGUGGAGCAUGUGAAUGCCUUUAAUCAAUUGGUCACGGAUCUAGUGCGUAUGGAUGUGAAGAUUGAGGACGAGGAUAAGACACUACUUCUUCUUGUUUCGUUGCCACCGUCCUAUGAGCAUUUGGUCAUUACAUUGACACAUGGAAAGACAACCAUCAAUAAUGAGGAAGUCACUGCAGCGUUACUUGGACAUGAGUUGAUGAAGCAAAAGAAUGCUGCAGAAAGGGAGAGUACUCAAGGUUUGGGGUUGGCAGUUAAAGGCUAUCAGCUCAGGAAGGGACAAGAGGCGGAGAAGAAAAAGAAGAAAAAGGUGCAGUGCUACAGGUGCAAGGAUUGGGGACAUAUAAAGAGGGAAUGCCCAGAACUGAAGGGUGAGGCAAGUGCUAAUGCGGCUACUCAUGGUGAUGGCUCGGACAGUGAUAAUGAUCUUCUCGUUGUAUCGAAUAGACGGUCAACAAAAACUGAAGCGUGGAUGUUGGAUUCAACUUGCUCUUUUCAUGCGACGCCCAACAGGGAGUUGUUCUCUUCGUACAAAUUUGGUGAGUUUGGUUUAGCCUAUGUGGGCGAUGACACAGGUUAUCGUGUUGCUGGAGUAGGUGACAUCAAAUUCAAGAUGUUUGAUGGAGUUGAGCGGAUGCUUCGGGGAGUCAGGCAUGUGCCAGGGCUAAGGAGGAAUCUAAUUUUGCUUGGUGUUGUGGUAUGGAAUUCCGUUGUGAUCGGGAUAAGAAGACCAUGA